rnacentral:rRNA from 1 species
CGUAGGGUGCGAGCGUUAAUCGGAAUUACUGGGCGUAAAGCGUGCGCAGGCGGUUUAGUAAGACAGGCGUGAAAUCCCCGGGCUCAACCUGGGAACUGCGCUUGUGACUGCUAAGCUAGAGUACGGCAGAGGGGGUGGAAUUCCACGUGUAGCAGUGAAAUGCGUAGAGAUGUGGAGGAACACCAAUGGCGAAGGCAGCCCCCUGGGUCGAUACUGACGCUCAUGCACGAAAGCGUGGGUAGCAAACAGGAUUAGAUACCCUGGUAGUCCACGCCCUAAACGAUGUCAACUAGGUGUUGGGAGGGUAAAACCUUUUAGUACCGGAGCUAACGCGUGAAGUUGACCGCCUGGGGAGUACGGCCGCAAGGCUA